rnacentral:rRNA from 1 species
UACGUAGGUGGCAAGCGUUGUCCGGAGUUAUUGGGCCUAAAGAGCGUGUAGGCGGCUUGGUAAGUCCGCUGUGAAAGUCCAGGGCUCAACCCUGGAAAGCCGGUGGAAACUGUCAAGCUUGAGUCCGGAAGAGGCGAGUGGAAUUCCUGGUGUAGCGGUGAAAUGCGCAGAUAUCAGGAGGAACACCAAUGGCGAAGGCAGCUCGCUGGGACGGUACUGACGCUGAGACGCGAAAGCGUGGGGAGCAAACAGG